AUUGAACGCUGGCGGCAUGCCUAACACAUGCAAGUCGAGCGAGCGGCGGACGGGUGAGUAAUGUAUGGGGACUGCCCGCUAGAGGGGGAUAACUACUGGAAACGGUAACUCAUACCGCAUCCUAUCGGAUGACCCAUAUUUGAGUGGCUAGUAGGUGAGGUAAUGGCUCACCUAGGCGACGAUCCCUAGCUGGUCUGAGAGGAUGAUCAGCCACACUGGGACUGAGACACGGCCCAGACUCCUACGGAGGCAGCAGUGGGGAAUAUUGGACAAUGGGGGCAAGCCUGAUGCAGCCAUGCCGCGUGUAUGAGGAAGGCCCUAGGGUUGUAAAGUACUUUCAGACGGGAGGCGGUACCGACAGAAGAAGCACCGGCUAACUACGUGCCAGCCGCCGCGGUAAUAC
rnacentral:rRNA from 1 species